rnacentral:sRNA from 1 species
AAACAAAUGUCCAUUCACAAAUACAAAAUAUAGUAAUACAAAUACUUGCAGCAAUUCUGAUAUUUGCAGUCGGCCGUGUGGACGUCGAAGAACAUCAAAUGGCACUAUCGGAGCAUAACGAAGCGUAUUAUCCCCCUUCGAUUUUCGUCAGUUUUCCCCCAUCAUCAUCCAUUCUUCUUCUCCGUCGUCGAUUGUAAACAGAUUUCCCUUUUUGGUGCGAAUGCACCCGAGACUUGGAACUCGUACAGGAAUUUGCAUUUUGCACUGUUGUACUGGCUGGAAUAAUCAAUAGUCACACUGCAAAUUGUUGCAUGCAUGGAUAGUUUGGCUUCUUCUACUUCCCUGCGAGACCCCAAGCGUUGGUGACUAACCAUUGGACGAUCCAGCCAAUAGCGUUUAGCGUUUCUGAUCGCAAGUCAGUCAUCAUAUCAACCCCCCGCCUUCACUUCUUAAGGGACACAUCUGCAGUUCCUAAUUAGACUUUUCCGUUUCGAUUUGAGCUAUGGAUUGGAACAGGCUACCGCAUAAGUGUCACCGUUUGCCGCUCUGCUGACACGACUAUCCUUACCGAAAAUUACCGAAAAUCUCCUACAAUAACCUCAAGGAUACGUCGGACAUAGCAACUAAGGUUGAAUAAUGCCGCCCGUCGUCAUACGAGUGGGAUCGGCCAUUCGGAGAUAAGACUGUGAGAUCCGGUGAGAGAGGCAUGCUGGACGUGGUUAGGCGCGUGUUCAGUAGGAUUGAACGUUGUUAGCUGGGCUGGAUGCAUUAGGAUCGUUC